rnacentral:rRNA from 1 species
AGACCCGAAACCCGGUGAUCUAGCCAUGGGCAGGUUGAAGGUUGGGUAACACUAACUGGAGGACCGAACCGACUAAUGUUGAAAAAUUAGCGGAUGACCUGUGGCUGGGGGUGAAAGGCCAAUCAAACCGGGAGAUAGCUGGUUCUCCCCGAAAGCUAUUUAGGUAGCGCCUCGUGAAUUCAUCUCCGGGGGUAGAGCACUGUUUCGGCUAGGGGGCCAUCCCGGCUUACCAACCCGAUGCAAACUGCGAAUACCGGAGAAUGUUAUCACGGGAGACACACGGCGGGUGCUAACGUCCGUCGUGAAGAGGGAAACAACCCAGACCGCCAGCUAAGGUCCCAAAGUCAUGGUUAAGUGGGAAACGAUGUGGGAAGGCCCAGACAGCCAGGAUGUUGGCUUAGAAGCAGCCAUCAUUUAAAGAAAGCGUAAUAGCUCACUGGUCGAGUCGGCCUGCGCGGAAGAUGUAACGGGGCUAAACCAUGCACCGAAGCUGCGGCAGCGAACGUAUCACCCAAGACAACUUUACGGAGUUGACGAUUGACGGAGCGAAGCGACGUCAAAGCGUUCAUUAAAGUCGAGUUGGCUUAGGGAUACGUUCGUUGGGUAGGGGAGCGUUCUGUAAGCCUGUGAAGGUGUGUCGUGAGGCAUGCUGGAGGUAUCAGAAGUGCGAAUGCUGACAUAAGUAACGAUAAAGCGGGUGAAAAGCCCGCUCGCCGGAAGACCAAGGGUUCCUGUCCAACGUUAAUCGGGGCAGGGUG